UACGUAGGGUGCAGGCGUUUAAUCGGAAUUACUGGGCGUAAAGCGUGCGCAGGCGGUUCGCUAAGACAGAUGUGAAAUCCCCGGGCUUAACCUGGGAACUGCAUUUGUGACUGGCGGGCUAGAGUAUGGCAGAGGGGGGGUAGAAUUCCACGUGUAGCAGUGAAAUGCGUAGAGAUGUGGAGGAAUACCGAUGGCGAAGGCAGCCCCCUGGGCCAAUACGUGACGCUCAUGCACGAAAGCGUGGGGAGCAAACAGG
rnacentral:rRNA from 1 species